AGGAUCAUUCACAAUGAGUGUUUUAUGGCACUCUUUAAAAAUCCAUAUCCACCUUGUGUGCAAUGUUUGUUGGGAGAGAGGCAACUCUUUCCCUUCACAAAUAUCAACCUAUAUCUUUAACAACAUUCGUCUGAUAACAUAUUAUGAAUAUACUUAAUUCAAAAUAUAACUUUCAACAACGGAUCUCUUGGCUCUCGCAUCGAUGAAGAACGCAGCGAAAUGCGAUACGUAAUGUGAAUUGCAGAAUUCAGUGAAUCAUCGAAUCUUUGAACGCAUAUUGCGCUCUUUGGUAUUCCGAAGAGCAUGCUUGUUUGAGUAUCAGUAAACACCUCAACCUCCUCUUGAUUUUUCAAAAGGAGGGUGGACUUGAGCUAUCCCAACAACCUUUACCGGUAGGCGGGCGGCUUGAAAUGCAGGUGCAGCUGGACUUUUAUCUGAGCUAAAAGCAUAUCUAUUUAGUCCUCGUCAAACAGGAUUAUUACUAUUGCUGCAGCUAACAUAAAGGAUAAUUGUCCUCAUUGCUGACUGAUGCAGGAUUUUACGACACUUUAUGUGUUGUUCAACUCGAUCUCAAAUCAAGUAAGACUACCCGCUGAACUUAAGCAUAUCAAUAAGCGGAGGAAAAGAAACUAACAAGGAUUCCCCUAGUAACGGCGAGUGAAGCGGGAUGAGCUCAAAUUUGAAAUCUGGCUGGUUUACUAGUCCGAGUUGUAAUUUAAAGAAGCGUUUUC
rnacentral:rRNA from 1 species